rnacentral:rRNA from 1 species
ACCUAUUUCAAAUUAAUUGGUGGCCCUUCAAUGCCUAUUGUUCUGAUCUUGGAAGCUUAACAAUCCCAGUCUUGAAGGCACUUGGAUGGGAGACCAGCUGGGAAUUUGGACUGCUGUAGGGA